rnacentral:rRNA from 1 species
GACGGAGGGUGCGAGCGUUAAUCGGAAUUACUGGGCGUAAAGCGCAUGUAGGCGGCCGAACAAGUCAGGUGUGAAAUCCUCGGGCUUAACCUGGGAAGUGCACUUGAUACUGUCCGGCUAGAGUUUGGCAGAGGAAAGUAGAAUUCCCGGUGUAGCGGUGAAAUGCGUAGAUAUCGGGAGGAAUACCAGUGGCGAAGGUGGCUUUCUGGGCCAAUCCUGACUUUGAGGUGCGAAAGCGUGGGGAGCAAACAGG